UAUGGCCAUAUCAAGUUGAAACAUUGGUUCCCGUACGAUCACCGAAGUUAAGCAACGUCUAGAUCGGCCAGUACCUUGAUGUGUGACCAUUUAGAAAUACCAGGUGUGGU